rnacentral:rRNA from 1 species
AUUUGACGUUACCUACAGAAGAAGCACCGGCUAACUCCGUGCCAGCAGCCGCGGUAAUACGGAGGGUGCGAGCGUUAAUCGGAAUUACUGGGCGUAAAGCGCAUGCAGGCGGCCUGUUAAGUCAGAUGUGAAAGCCCGGGGCGUUAACCUCGGAAUUGCAUUUGAAACUGGCAGGCUAGAGUCUUGUAGAGGGGGGUAGGAAGUUUCAGGUGUAGCGGUGAAAUGCGUAGAGAUCUGAAGGAAUACCAGUGGCGAAGGCGGCCCCCUCGGACAAAGACUGACGCUCAGAUGCGAAAGCGUGGGGAGCAAACAGGAUUAGAUACCCUGGUAG